UCCACUAGGCCUGGGCCAAAUAUCUCUUGAUUUGUUCUAAUCUUUGGGCUUGUGCUUAAUGUCAUGAUUGGAUUAGAAACAAGAUUUUCCUCCCAGGCUAUGAACUUGGAAAGUUUCUCGCAAUUGGGGCCAGGCAGGUAAGGCAGGAGGGGGAAGUGGCUGGCAGGAAAGCAAUUGUUUGGUAAACUGAUGAGUAAAGAGAUUGUUUAAAGAGGACCAUAUAUCCAAUGUUGAAAGUAACAUUAGAACAAAAGUCAUCUUCAAAACCAGCCCGUUAUUCUAAAGGGCAUAAAAGGCCAGUAGCAUCUCUGAGAAAUCGGAGUACUAGAAAGCAAAGUAUAUAUGAUGAAAUAUUUAGGUUUAUUAAAAAAAAUCAAAUUACCUUUUACCUACAAUGAGAAGGCUCAACCAGCUGAUUCAUAAAGAAUCACAGAGGGGGCCAGGCAUGGUGGCUCACAUCUGUAAUCCCAGCACAUUGGGAGGCCAAGGCGGGCAGAUCAGGAGGUCAAGAGACAGAGACCAGCCUGGCCAACGUGGUGAAACCCCAUCUCUACUAAAAACACAAAAAUUAGCUGGCCGUGGUGGCGGGCGCCUGUAGUCCAGCUGCUUGGGAGGCUGAGGCAGAAGAAUCACUUGAACCCAGGAGGCAGAGGUUGCAGUGAGCCGAGAUAGCGCCACUGCACUCCAGCCUGGUGACAGAGUGACACUCCAUCAAAACAAACAACAACAAAAAGAAUCAGAAGGUAGCAAGAUUUUGAAAUACUGCUGAGAUACCCACAAGAUCAAGGCCUAAUUUUACCUCAUCCCAGGUCUGCAUAUUCUCUUCACCUCAAGGCAUUAUUAAUCUCAGCCUCCACAUCCACUUUAAAAAAAAAAAGGCAGUGGCUCACACCUGUAAUCCCAGCACUUUGGGAGGCCGAGGCAGGUGGAUCACCUGAGGUCAGGAGUUCGAGAGCAGCCUGACCAACAUGGUGAAACCCCGUCUCUACUCAAAAUACAAAAAUUAGCUGGGCGUGGUGGCGGGUGCCUAUAAUCCCAGCUACUCUGGAGGCUGCGGCAGGAGAAUCGCUGGAACCUGGGAGGCAGAGGUUGCAGUGACCUGAGAUGGUGCCACUGCACUCCAGCCUGGGCAACAAGAGCAAAAGUCUGUCUCAAAAAAAAAAAAAAAAAUAGAGGUGGGGGUCUGGCUAUGUUGGCCAGGGUGGUCUUGAACUCCUGACCUCAAGUGAUCUUCUGCUUUGGACUUCCAAAGUGCUGGCAUUACAGGCAAGAGCCACUGUGCCCAGCCCCUUCAGCCCAUUUUAGUGUGUUGACCUUGGAACUGGCUGUGAAAGGCUUCGUGUUUCUGUGUCUUGUAGACCAAAGUGACUCAGACAUCACUUUGGACAUACAUCCCCCAGGGGAUCCUCUGAACAUGCAGAUUCUGGUAUAGGAGGUCUGGGGUGAGGCCCAGGACCCUGCAUUUCUGGCAAGCUCAGGUGACGCUGAU
rnacentral:lncRNA from 1 species